rnacentral:lncRNA from 1 species
CCACUUCCCCCAGUGGCUCCGGCGGGGCGCAUCUUGCGCGGAGCAGGCACUGGGGGAGGGGAGAAGGGGGCGCCAUAUCUAGCCGGCUUUUGGAUUUUUUUUGUUUGUUUGUUUAGUUCGAGAACUUCAAACUUGAGUCUUAAAAAAAAGUUUAAGAAGGAGGGGAAAAAAGCCAAGCGCGGGCGGGCAAGAAGGCCCCCCCGCGGCGGCCGGGCUGAGGCCGGGCGCGAACUCAUCGCAGGCGCGCGUCGGCACUGCCGCUUUAAGCAGCCUUGCCCAUUGUUUGCCCCCCGACCAAUGGCGGCGGCGCUGCCCGCUGGGCGCGGCCAAUGAGCGGCGCGCAGGGCAGGCGCGGCGCCGCCCCCGGCUCUAUAAGAGGGGCCGCGGCGCCGCGUGAGCCCUCCACUGCGCGGCCAAGGCCAUCUUUGCAUUGUUCGCUGCGCUGCGCCUGCGCCUGCGCCCGACCGCGCGGGGCUAUUUUUAUACAGAGCUAUUUUGUACCCGCCCGCACCGCACCAUGUCGGACACGGCCGUGGACACCAGCGCCGAGAUCUCCGCCAAGGUGAGGAAGAGGACGGUGACGAAGACGACGAAGCCGAGGGGGCCACAGGCAAACGGGCGGCUGAGGACGAUGAGGUGAGCGGGGAUGGAUCCCAGGCGCUUUGCUGGAGCAGAGCUGGCCGGGUCCCCCGGAGGGAUCCACCGGGGCACGUGUGGGCCAGGGAGCCUGGCUGGGCUCUUGGAGCCCAGCUCCUGCCCCCAUCCCGGGCACGGCUCUCGCGUUUGCCUCCGGGGUGCUGCCCUCGGGGACUCAGCCCGCUUCCAUUUGUACCCGUGGCCUGCUUAGGAGCGCCCUCGGCUGCAGCCGGAGCAGCCCGUGCUCCCGCGCUGGGAUGGCACAGCUGGGAGGGGAGUCUUCCUCCACGCUCUGCUGGCAGCUGGGGAAGGGGCUGGCGCAACCCCGGAUGCCCUGGCUGGGUUAGGAAGGGGACGAGGGGGGUGACGGACGCUGAACCCCAGCACAAUGGUGCUGGGAGCCGGCUCUGCCCUCUCCAGCCCUUGGCCUCUCCUGGGCAGUGCCAGCGGCACGUCAAAGGGUGCAAGAGACGGGGCUGGUGCGGGCAAGACGGCUGCUUCCUGAGGAGAGCGGCAGCUCGCUGGGUACCUCGGGUGGGGUCUGCGCAGAGCCAGGUGCACAGAAAGGCCACUCGGAUAAGGCCCCUUAUCUCCGCGCGGGAGAGGAAGCCGAAAACCCGCCUCCAGGAGCAAAGGCUGAAUCCCUUCUUGCUGGGGCUGGCAGGGAGGCAGAGGGAACCACGGUCCUUGGCCCCUCGUGGCCGCCCCAGAGCUGGGCAGGAUGGGGCAUUUGGGCUCCCUAAAACUGCAGGGCAAAGAGGUGCCAAGGGGGCAGC